UUGACCUCCCAGAUGCCCAGCACUGGGUGUGCAGCAGAGCUGGUGAUUCCAGCUGGGGAGGUGAGGACUCCACUGCGAGCUGAGCGGGAACAGCCCCUUCCCAUGACUGAGGCCCCAGAGGCACGGAAUGGUCAGAAUGCCGGUGGCUGAGGGAGGCACGGGGGCAGCUGCUGGAGGAGGGAGACACGCAGAAGGAGCAUUUCAGGCACUGGAAGGACAGGUCAUUUCUCUGCCCCGCCUCCGCUCCUUCCUUUGCUGCCCCCAGAGAGUGGUUUCCGGCAGCUCUGUUAUCUCGGGGCUGGCAGGUGGUUUCUGACUCUCCCUCACUCAGCAAACACGCAGCUUGGUCUCGGCAUGCACCUCGCCUAUCUCAUCCUCACGGUCUUCCUGGGCCAGCUCCUGGGCACCACGGGGCAGAUCAUGGUCACCCAGGAAGAUGGACAAGUCAUAGUGGAGCAGAGACAUCCCUUCCAGACCACCUGCACAUACCAGAUCAGUAAUUUUAGGGCAUUGCUCUGGUACCAGGUGCGGAAAGGCCAAGCCCCACAGCUGGUCUCCUAUCACGCAGGGCCUGGCGCCAAGCACAGCGGCCGUAUCACCACGCACCUGAACACCACGGGGAAAUACAGUGUCCUGCAGGUGGAGGAAGUGGAGUGGCUGUGGCCAGAGCCCAGGUCCAGCAGGAGCCACGGCUGGAGACCACCGAGAACACCGGCAUCAACAUCAGCUGCUCACAUCCCAAAAUCCAGACCGGAGACUGGAUCCAGUGGUACCGUCAGCUCCCGGGCCGAGGACCCGAACUGCUCGCGCUCACUGUGAAAGAGUCCAAAGAGCUGCCGGACAUUGCGGGCGGUCUGUGGGUGUCGGCAGAUCGCCGGAGCAGCGCGCUGUGGCUCCGGCGGCCCCGGCGCGG